rnacentral:misc_RNA from 1 species
UUAAGUUCAGCGGGUAACCCUACCUAAUCCGAGGUCAAACUAUUCUAAGAAUAAAUAGGCUUAACGGCAGGCCUCCGCCAGGACCCGAUACGAGACUAAACGUUACUACGCAUAGGGGCACCGCGGCGGGACCGCCACUUCAUUUCGGGGGCCUACGUUUUACCGUAGUGCCCCAACACCAAUCCACUAAAAGCGGCUCG